GCUGAAGGGGAUGAUCCUGCAUCCUUUCCUUCUAUAGUCUGUGCACAUGUUUCUCCCUCUGAAAGUACGAUUGGUGCCUACCUGAAGCAACCCUUUCCAUGACCCUCAGUUGAUUGGAAGGGAGUUGGGUUCAAAUCUCAGUGUCUGAAGUGAUGGAGGUGGGUGCUGAGAAAUUCCAUUUCAGUAACAACCAAUCCCAGGGAAGCCAGCAGGAGCCCCUGGGAGAGUUUUCUUUGUGAAGGUCAGGGUUGCCCUGGAAUGGGUUCGCCCUGAGAGAGAGGCCCGAGCCUUGGAAAGCGUUCUGGUUACAGCAAUGUCCGGCAAGAUCUCAGUGGCCCUUGAAAAUCUGAGGGAGAGGGUCUAAAUCUCAUACCCAUAGCCACAGCAAGUCUCCAAGGUGAACAGCCUCUGGC